rnacentral:rRNA from 1 species
UACAGAGGGUGCAAGCGUUGUUCGGAAUUAUUGGGCGUAAAGGGCGCGUAGGCGGUGCCACAAGUCACCUGUGAAAUCUCCGGGCUUAACUCGGAGCCUGCAGGCGAAACUGUGGUGCUGGAGUGUGGGAGAGGUGCGUGGAAUUCCCGGUGUAGCGGUGAAAUGCGUAGAUAUCAGGAGGAACACCUGUGGUGUAGACGGCUUUCUGGACCGUAGCUGACGCUGAGACACGAAAGCGUGGGUAGCAAACAGG